rnacentral:sRNA from 1 species
AUGGCUGUCGUCAGCUCGUGUCGUGAGAUGUUGGGUUAAGUCCCGCAACGAGCGCAACCCUCGCUUCCAGUUGCUACCGGGUAGUGCCGAGGACUCUGGAAGGACUGCCGGUGCCAAACCGGAGGAAGGUGGGGACGACGUCAAGUCAUCAUGGCCCUUACGUCUAGGGCUACACACGUGCUACAAUGGACCGUACAAAGGGUUGCGAAGCCGCGAGGUGGUGCCAAUCCCAGAAAGCGGUCCUCAGUUCGGAUUGUAGUCUGCAACUCGACUACAUGAAGUUGGAAUCGCUAGUAAUGGCGCAUCAGCUACGGCGCCGUGAAUACGUUCCCGGGCCCUGUACACACCGCCCGUCACGUCAUGAAAGCCGGUUUCGCCCGAAGUGCGUUUGCCAACCAGCAAUGGAGGCGGCGCCCUAAGGUGAGGCUGGUGAUUGGGACGAAGUCGUAACAAGGUAGCCGUAGGGGAACCUGCGGCUGGAUCACCUCCUUUCUAAGGAGACGGCAAAGCCACGCAAGUGGCGGCGCCGAUGGUCGAAGGAAGCGGUGGGGUUAAACCCGCUGUCUUCUGGGUUCCAGUUGGUCGCACAAAGUAAAUUUUAAGAGGAAUGUUCUUUCCAACAUCACGCUCGUGUAUGGGGUCGUAGCUCAGCUGGCAGAGCACCUGCUUUGCAAGCAGGGGGUCGCCGGUUCGAAUCCGGCCGGCUCCACCACGCUGUGAUCCCGACAAGGGUUUUUGCCAAUUUCCAAUCUUGGGCUCAUAGCUCAGUUGGUUAGAGCACGCGCUUGAUAAGCGCGGGGUCGAUGGUUCAAGUCCAUCUGGGCCCACCAUUUCGUACUUGGUGCGAAUUCCGGGGUUGGGCAGCGGUGGCAAGGGGGAUGUUGGGUGAUUGACCGCUUUUGUUCUUUGAAAUUUUAGGGUAGUGUAAGAUGUAAGUGGGUAAGAUAAACGCCUAGAAUAUGUGAGCGUUUGCAUAAACCAGUUACAGCAAUUGAUGGAUGCCUUGGCUUCAUCAGGCGACGAAGGACGCAGCAAGCUGCGAAAAGCUUCGGGGAGCGGCACGCACGCUUUGAUCCGAAGAUUUCCGAAUGGGGAAACCCGG